rnacentral:rRNA from 1 species
UACAGAGGGUGCGAGCGUUAAUCGGAAUUACUGGGCGUAAAGCGUGCGUAGACGGUUAGAUAAGUCGGGUGUGAAAGCCCCGGGCUCAACCUGGGAAUUGCAUUCGAGACUGUUUAGCUAGGGUACGGAAGAGGGAAGCGGAAUUUCAGGUGUAGCGGUGAAAUGCGUAGAUAUCUGAAGGAACACCAGUGGCGAAGGCGGCUUCCUGGUCCAGUACCGACGUUCAGGCACGAAAGCGUGGGGAGCAAACAG